rnacentral:rRNA from 1 species
UACAGAGGUCUCAAGCGUUGUUCGGAUUCAUUGGGCGUAAAGGGUGCGUAGGCGGCGCGGUAAGUCGGGUGUGAAAUCUCGGAGCUUAACUCCGAAACUGCAUUCGAUACUGCGGUGCUUGAGGACUGGAGAGGAGACUGGAAUUCAUGGUGUAGCAGUGAAAUGCGUAGAGAUCAUGAGGAAGACCAGUGGCGAAGGCGGUCUCUGGACAGUUUCCUGACACUGAGGCACGAAGGCCAGGGAGCAACGGG